rfam:Arabis alpina cultivar Pajares chromosome 4, whole genome shotgun sequence.
AAGCCGUGGUGUGGACAAUCUCUCUGAUAACCUUUGAAACGUUCCCAAGCAGUCUUGAACGCUUCAGUCGGACUCUGACCAAAAGAAGAGAUCUUUGCCCUCAAAUCAU